AAAUUACAUCCCUUCUUUUACUAACUCUUUCGGAAAUACGAUCUCCGAGGAUUUUCGGGUGGUAAUUCCGUCGUAACCGUUUUUGACCCCAACAGUGUGGGUAUAUGCAGUGCUCGUAGAUGAUGCAGAAGUUUGGAGGAAAUCAGAUGAAAUAGAGUGUUUGAAAGAUGCACACGAUUCAUCAAUUGCAUGGCCAAUUGAUAAAUUGGUCAUAUUUUAAGCUGCUGUAAGUAUUCUUUUUGUGUGUUUAAACCUGCAUAUGUAAUUGCAUAACUGAUCAGAGUUUUCGUUGUUGCAGCAGCUGAGGGAAUGAAGAACUUAGGUCCAGAUUUAGCUAGUGUUUAAGCUAGGCUAAUGAACUUGAUGUAUGAUAUUAUUGCUUAUGACUUUGGUUUGUGUUUUAGAACUGCAUCAGUAACACUUAUGUGUAAUGACUUAUGUAUGUCAAAC
rnacentral:lncRNA from 1 species